rnacentral:snRNA from 1 species
UUAAAACAAAGCAUUGCGAUGGUCCCUG